rnacentral:rRNA from 1 species
AUGAGUUGUUUCCGUCUCUCCAAAAAUAUGUGCAAAAAAAUCACAACUGCCAUUGCCAGGUUUUGGUGGGGAGGAAAUGAAAAUACGAGCAAAAUGCAUUGGAAGAAAUGGAAGGAUAUUGCUGCUCCCAAAUGUGUGGGUGGUAUGGGCUUUAAAGACCUUGAGUUGUUCAAUCAAGCAAUGCUUGCUAAACAGGGUUGGCGACUUCUCACACAACAGGAUUCACUCUGUGCCAGGGUGAUCAAAGGCAAGUAUUUUCAUGAUGUUGAUUUUAUGACGGCGACAAGGAAAAAGAAUGCCUCGCAUACAUGGAGGGCAAUUAUGUAUGGACGGGAAGCUCUAACUCAUGGCCUGAUCAAACGUAUUGGUGAUGGUAGCAAUACUAGAGUUUGGGAGGAUCCCUGGAUUCCUUCAAACUUGGGCUUUAAACCCCUUUUAUGUCUUCAAAACUCGACCGUGAAUAUGGUCGAGGACUCGAUCGACCCAUACAAUGGAGACUGGAAUAGAGAGGUUUUACAGAAUAAUUUCCUUCCUAUUGAUGCGGCUGCUGUGCAAAUGAUUCCUUUGGGAAGGAUGGAAGAAGAUAACUGGGCAUGGCAUUUAGAGAGAAGUGGAAAUUUCAGUGUCUGGUCAGCUUACAGGGCAAUGCUUGGUGCUCGGCAGCAAACAAAUAAUCCAGCUAGCUCGGCAGGUGAUGAUAGAACAUUUUGGAAGAAGCUUUGGAAGAUGCCUGUACCCUCAAAGGUCCGUAAUUUUUGGUGGCGUGUGAUUAGGAAGUUUAUCCCAUGCCGAUCUAUUCUGAAGGAAAGACAUAUUGAACAAAUCAGUUUCUGCGAGGAUUGUGGAUGUGAAGAAACAAUCACUCAUUCUUUGUUCGAUUGUACAUGGGCUAAGCUGUUUUGGCAUCAAAUAAGGAACAUGUUGGGUGUCAAACUUCCUCGUUUGCAUCCGGACUCAUGGGCGAUGGAUAUGAUUGAUGGAGGUAUGGUCAGUGAUACAGAUGCCGCUGUCAUCUUAUGUGGAUGUUGGUCUGUAUGGUCAGAGCGCAAUGCAAAGAAGCACGGAGAUAAAGGGCGGUCGAUCCAAUGCUCGGUGAAAUGGACUGCUGAUGUGACUAUGGAUUUGAUAAUUUCAUCAAAAGAAGGAAAGAAAAUGCCUACUAAGGCUGACGAUAAAUGGCGACCCCUGGAAAUUAAUUGCAUUAAGCUGAAUGUGGACGCAAGUUUUUUGGCUGAUUGUCUCCAAGGAAGUACAGGGGUAGGUGUGCGCGAUCAUGAAGGUAAACUCGUUCGUGCCCAGGCACUAUGGUAUGAACAUGCAGCCAAUUUUUUUGUUAUGGAGGCGUUGACUAUUAGAGAUGGAGGCCGACUUGCAGGUAAUAUGGGUCUCCGGAACAUCAUCGUUGAAACUGAUGCUUUGGCUAUUACGAAGCUCUGGAAUACCAAUAAUUUUGGGCGUUCAGAAAUUGUUGUUGUGCUUCAGGAAACUAAAGAGCUUUCAGAGAGUUUUUCAGUUUUUUGUUUUGUCUUAUAUUCCUAG